rnacentral:rRNA from 1 species
GACAGAGGGUGCGAACGUUGUUCGGAAUUACUGGGCGUAAAGCGCGUGUAGGCGGUUCGGCAAGUCGGAUGUGAAAGCCCAGGGCUCAACCCUGGAAGUGCACUCGAAACUGCCAGACUGGAGUCCCGGAGAGGAAGGCGGAAUUCUCGGUGUAGAGGUGAAAUUCGUAGAUAUCGAGAGGAACACCUGUGGCGAAGGCGGCCUUCUGGACGGUGACUGACGCUGAGACGCGAAAGCGUGGGGAGCAAACAGG